UACCGGGCCAAAAUAAGAGCAGUGGCUGAAGAUCCUGUUGGAAACCAGUGUCGUCAGAAGAUUGGCUGCAGGCCAAGUUAUGUUCUAUCUCCAUUCAGCCUGUGGAUGGUGGGUCCCUAUGUGUUCCUCCACGCUCUACGCUUAUCCUGGUCUAUCCCCGACUGUUGAACUCGUGGUACCUCUUUACAGCUACUAGUCGAAGGGGAGGAUAAAUGAACUACAAUUCUGGCAUAGUACAUAUCUUUUACUUUAUGGCAUUCGCCAUAAUGACAACAUUACGUGAUAUGCGAUGG